rnacentral:lncRNA from 1 species
AUUUGUAAAAUUUGGCUAUAAAAGCCAUUCAAGACUAUGUUAGAAGGGGUGAUUUUUGUUUUUUGGAAAGGCUAGUUUUUAGAGAUUAAUCAAAGAUCAAAGCAAAAGAGGUUUCUUUUGUCUAUUCUCAUCUUAAGUUCUUUGUCUGUUUAUUGUUUUCCUUUCAAUUUUAUUUUGUUUUUUUUAUAUACGAAAGUAAAAAUAAAAGUAAGAAGCUUACCCAUAUUUUCAUUACCGAAAAAAGUUUUUUUUGAGGUCCGGCCGCCGUGAACGGUGGCGCUGAUGGCGGCCCGUGGGGGUCCAUGACCGAAGCAAAACCGGACCAACGGUCGGAUUUAGAAAAGAGAGAGAAAGAGAGUUGAGAGCUUUGUUUUAUUUUUUUAUUUUAUUAUUUUUACUAUUAUUUAUAUUAUUAUUAUUAUUUCUCAUGUAUAUAUUAUUAUUUAUAUUAUUAUUAUAUUAUAUAUGCCCUCUCCAUAUUUAUUUAUAUUAUUACUAUCAUUAUUGUUACUUCUAUUAUUUUUUAUUUCUGACUACUAUUAUUAUAUAUAUAUGUAUUUUUGUUUGUAUUAUUAUUAUUAUUAUUAUCACCCCUAUUGUUAUUACUUUACUUUUGUAUUCUAAUAUAUUAUUAAUAUUACUCAUAUUUUCGUUAUUUUUGCUAUUACUAUUAUUAUUAUAUAUUAGUGUAUAUUUUUAUGUAUAUAUAUAUUUAUAUAUAGUAUUUUUUUUAUUACUUUAAUUUAAUAUUUUUAUUAUAUUUGCUUUUUGUAUUUCUAUAUUUAUUAUUAUUAUAUAGUAGUGUGUAUUUCUAUUAUAUACAUAUAUAUAUUUUUAUAUAUAGUAUUAUUGUUUACUUUACUUUAAUAUUAUUCUUAUUAUCAUUAUAUCCAACCCAAUAAUAAUUCUUUCAUAAAAGUAAUAUUACGUAUUUGGUAAUUCGAGACAAUCGUGCCCUAACUUAUUGGGUUUCGAUUUUUCUCCUUUAACCUAAAUAACAGAAUACUCUUUUAAAUCGCGACAUGAGUUUUGAAAAAUGCUUAUUCUCGGAGAUACGAGAUGUUGUGCCCUAACUUAUCGGGUAUGGCAUUUUGUUACCUCGAAAUAAGAUUUUUGCAAGUAAAGGCAAUAUUCAGUGUUCGGGAAUUCGAGGAAACGUGCCCUAACUUACUGGGUUUCGAUUUUCCUCGUUCACCUUAACUAACUGAAUAACCUUUUGAAAUACACGAAUUUUUAUAUAAAAGGCAAGCUCGCUCUCGAAAAUUCAAGAUGUCCUGUCCUAACUUAUUGGAUGUGACAUUUUAUAUUGUGAGACGAGAAGGUCCUUAACAUUUGAGCAUUUUCUUUACAAAGAGGGAUUGUAUUUUAAAUUCUUUCAAGUUUUCAAAUUUUCGACACUAAGACACUAAUUAAUCAACUAGGUACCAAUUUUGGGCGUAUUGAGGGUGCUAAUCCUUCCUUGUGCGUAACCGACUCCCGAACUCAUUUUCUGAUUUUCGUAGACCAAAAAUUAUCGUUUUAGUAAAUCUUAACUUUUAUUAAAAUGAUUAAUUUAAGGUGAUCCGAUCACACUUAAAAAGAUUGGUGGCGACUCCUGUUUUCGUUUUUUUCUCCAAGUCGAUACCCGUUUUUUCAAAAAAAAAUGGUUACGAUAGCUUGGCGACUCCACUGGGGACCUUUAUAAGAGAGUCAAGCCACAAGUUGAUUAACUUUUGUCUUUUUUUCGAAAAUUGAGAAUUUGGUUUUGAUAUACGAUCUCUUCAUUGCGUUUCACCCGUUUUUCGUACUGUUUUCAUCAUUUUAUUCCUAUUUUCUUUAAUCGUUUCAAGUUUUUAUGCAUAUAUCUCUCGCAUUGCAUUGCAUGACCGUUGUGGUCACACCCUUAAGUGGGAGUGAGAAACUAUGCCUUCGUGAGGUUUUCACCUCCGUGCAGGAUAGUGGAUCACUUUCGGAAUACAUCCGUACCUAUGGUUUCGUGAGAUUUUCAUCUCCGUGUAGCCAUAGGGAAAUGUAUUCUCCUGAACUGAACUCGGUCUGUAUGAGCCUAUAAUGGGUGAGGAUCGAGGAAUCUGCUGGUUCAGGUACCCUUACUCUAGAACCAAACCACAUAUAGAGUGACCUAGGAGCCCACCCUAGGUAGAGCCACUCCGAACCCCUAGUGGUCACCCAAAUUGCUUUAUUUGUUAUUUAUUUAUCCUACACUAACCUGUUUUAUUUUUGUUUUGUUUAUAAUUGCAUUACAUUACAUCAUCCUAGGAAGGAGGUGUUGAUUCAUAUUUGAUUACUAAAUAGAAUAGUUUGUCAUAAGGAAACGAAUUUCUUGAUAAAGUAGAUUAUAGUGCGAUCGCCUGAAUACAGUCCAAGUAAACACGAUAAGAGAAAGCUGGUAGUUCACGGAGGAAUACAUGAUGUAAUUGCCAGAGAUUCAAGCCAACAAAGGCAUGACGAGAGAAAGCCGGAAGUUCACAAAAGAAUACAUGACUUGAUUUGAUUGCCAACGAAGAUUAUCCAAUAGCCGACACUUUUGAUGAGUAUCAUGGAGAUAAGCGAGCAAGAGAUCGAGGCUCAGAUUAAGCAGCAAGGAACUAGUAAAGGCAUCUUUUAGAGAAUUUACAAGAUUCGACCAUAAAGAAAAGAUCAGCGUUUACUUGGACUAUGAAGGGCAAUACCGCAUAUGUAAUCUAUUUUCAUGUAAAGAAAUAUGUUUUCUAGAAAAGUUAUUCUAAUGGAAUUGAAUUCAAGAUCAACAUCUUCAUUUCUUUUGCAUUCAUUCCAUACAUUUGCAUUACAUUGAAACAUUUGUAUUAAAAUUUCAGUAAAGAACCCUGAUUAAACAAAAUUAUUUCAGUUAACCUGGAAACCAACGAGAAUCAAGCAACCGAACACAGCCACUAUACCCGCCGUAAAACCAAAGCAAUGGACCAGAGAUUAAAAAGGAUAAAACAAAUGCAAAGGGAGAUGCAAUAACAAUUACAAGCACAGAUGCAAGAGCAACUGGCUAAGAUACAGCAAGAUAUGAGGGACCAUAUGUUGGAGUCCCAGAAAAGUAUGAUGGACCAAUUAACUCGUCUAUUGGCUGGCGGAUUAGAAAAAGGGAAAAGCCCUUUGAUCAAUGCGGGAGAAGAUAAUGAAGAUCCUACCUACCUUCCGGGUUUUGCCCCAGCGGACGUUCAGACACAACCUGACAUGUACCCAAGAAGGCCAUCGGUCACAAUUAGGCCCCAACUAUUUCAGGCCUGUGUUUCAGCACCGAUGAAUUAUCAGGCCGGCUCGGGCUCUAAUCCGGGGGAUAACCCAACUAAUCAUGUGGUCCUCAAUCUUGAUGAAGUAAUAGAAGUAGAAAAGACAAGGGUAGAACUCCCGAGAGAGCUUGAAGAAAGGUGUAGAUGGUUGGAAGAAAAAUUUAAAGAAAUGGAAAGCACCGACUAUCGUGGUGGAAUCGAUGCUAAGGAAUUAAGUUUGGUUCCAGACUUGGUACUCCCUCCCAAGUUCAAAACUCCAGAAUUUGAGAAAUACAACGGGACUAGCUGUCCCGAAGCUCACAUCACUAUGUUCUGCAUACGAAUGGCAGGCCAUGUCAACAAUGACCAACUAUUAAUUCGCUGCUUCCAAGAAAAUCUAGUUGGGGCCGCUUCUAGAUGGUACAACCAGCUGAGUCACGCCCAGAUCAGUUCAUGGAAAGAUUUAGCACAAGCCUUCAUGAAGCAGUACGGUCAUGUGGUGGACAUAGCCCCUGAUAGAAUCACUUUACAGAAUAUGGAAAAGAAGCAUAAUGAGAGCUUUAGGCAGUACGCCCAGCGAUGGAGAGAAGUGGCCACACAGGUCCAACCCCCUCUGUUGGAGAAAGAAACCACUAUGCUCUUCAUCAAUACCCUGAAGGCACCUUUUAUUAACCACAUGCUGGGUAGCGCAACCAAGAGUUUUUCGGACAUAGUAAUGUGGGAAAAUAGAGGCUGGGGAAAAUGCUAAGAGGUCAGCGCCGAGAAAGAAAGAGCAUGAGGUGAAUAAUGUGAGCUCAUAUUCGAAAUCGAUCACCGUAAGCAAACCAAUGUCGACAACUACUGGACAGCAGGGCCCACCCAGACAAGAACCCAACACAAAACAAAAUAGGGAGAAACUUUAAUUUACGCCCAUUCCAAUGACGUACAAGGAGUUAUACCAGAGUUUUUUUGAUGCACAUGUCGUGUCUCCCUUCUAUCUAAAGCCAAUGCAACAUCCAUACCCCAAAUGGUAUGACGCAAAUGCCCAAUGCGAAUACCAUGCGGGAGCCACAGGACACUCGAUAGAAAACUGCACCACUUUUAAGAAAUUGGUUGAAAGAGUCAUCAACAUGGGGAUUGUGAAAUUUGAUGAUACAUCCAAUACAGAGAACCCAUUACCUAACCAUGGGGAUAAGGGAAUAAAUGCGAUAAUUGAGAGUUCAGGGAAAGAAAUUAAGCUGAGUAUUGCAGAAGUAAAUACCCCGUUGGAGGAAGUUUGGAAGAAAAUAGUGGAAAGAAGGUUGAUAGCACAGAAUUCAAGGGUCAGACCUCAAGAAGUGAAGAAUUAUUGUGAGUUCCACGAUCAAGAAGAUCAUGAGAUUCAGAAAUACAGCCAAUUCAGGGCUUUAGUACAAGGAUUGAUGGAUAAUAAGGAGCUGGAAUUCUUCGAAUAUGUUGGGAGCCUUGAAGAAGUAGAUGUGUGUGCCUCCGAAGAGGGGUCGACGAAGGAUGUUUACAAAGUCAACCACCCAGUAGUUAUCAUAUCACGUCCGAGAAUGAAUGAAGCCAGGGCACGAGUUGCGCCAAAGGUCGUGAUCCAAAAGCCCGUUGCUUUUCCUUAUAAAGAUAGCAAAAGGGUACCGUGGAACUAUAGCUGCAAUGUGACAUUCCCAGGAGAGGAGACCCCGAUUAAUGCAUCAGAGGAAGUUCAAGACGAAGGUUUUUACAUACGUAGCGGAAGGCGUUAUACCCCAAAUACAAAAGUCGAGCAGGUUAAAGAAAAAUCAUUAGCAAUUGAGCAAAAGAAAGUGAAGCCGGCGAGGCCUGAACCAACUGUUAAUGAAUCAGUGACUAAAAAAGAAGCCAAGGAAUUCUUAAAAUUCCUAAAGCACAGCGAAUAUAGUGUCGUAGAACAGUUGCACAAACAGCCAGCGCGUAUAUCAGUACUGGCCUUACUUUUAAGUUCCGAAACCCAUCGCAGCGCAUUGAUGAAGGUGCUGAAUGAAACUUAUGUUGCUAACGAUAUCUCUGUAAACAAACUGGACCGCUUAGUCAACAAUAUAAGUGCUGACAACUUCAUAUUCUUCAAUGACGAUGAGGUACCGCCAGGGGGCCGAGGAUCAACUAAAGCUUUGCACAUCACGACUCGCUGUAAAGGGUACACGUUACCGGGGGUAUUGAUUGACAAUGGGUCUGCACUGAAUGUCCUACCCCUAUCUACGCUGAGUAGGUUACCAGUGGAUAGUUCCCAUAUGAAGACAUGCCAAAAUAUAGUGAGAGCAUUUGAUGGCACGGAAAGGAGGGUAAUAGGGAGAAUUGAAGUACCCCUCUUAAUCGGGCCGAGCACAUACGAAGUAGAUUUCUUGGUCAUGGACAUUAAGCCUUCGUAUAAUUGCCUAUUGGGGAGACCAUGGAUACACUCGGCAGGGGCAGUCCCUUCAUCGCUGCACCAAAAGUUGAAAUUAGUGACUGAAGGUCGGUUAGUAACGAUCAAUGCUGAAGAGGAUAUCAUCGCGAUAAUAACUAGUGACACCCCAUAUCUUGAGGCAAAUUAUGAGGCAAUCGAGUGCUCUUUUCGAUCUUUGGAGUUUGUGAAUGCGACGUUCAUCACAGAAGGAAAUAAAAUUCCAAUACCUAGGUUAUUUGAGACUACAAGAAUGGGACUACGGCUAACUAUUGGAAAAGGGGCUCUACCCGAAAGAGGACUCGGGAGAUACCUCCAGGGAAGGAUUAAUAUACCAAUGAUGAAGGACAAACAAGACCGUUUUGGGUUAGGGUUUAAGCCGGACAUGAAACAAAGAAAGAAGGAACUUGAGAAGAAGCAAGAAAGAAGGAGAACGCGAUUUAGCGGGGGAGAAAUCGAAUGGGAACUAAUGAUCUUCCCCCAUAUAUCGAAGACUUUUGUGUCUGGAGGGGUCAUUCACUCUGAACGAAAGACGUCGGGAAAGGAAAUAUUGGAAGGAAUGAUGGAGAGUUUGGACAUCAACGCCACAUAUGAAGAAGGAACUGGGGUAGAGAAUUUGUCAGGCAUUCGCCCCUAUGAGCCAGAAAGUGUUCUGAAUAAUUGGACUGCGGAAGAGAUUCCUGUAGUCUUUAGAACUAACUCAGAGUAAUGUCCAAAACACGCUUAUUGCUCUAGGCUUAGGAGUAAGAAGUGUCCUUUUGUGAAAUAGGCUUAUGUUCGAAAUCAUCAUUUCAAUAAAAUGCAUCCUUUCGACUUAUUCCAUGCAAAUAUUUUUCAUUCAUGAUCAUACCAUACAUAUAUUUGUUCUUAGAUUCUCUUAUUCUUUGUAUCUUCCUUCGUACCUACAACAGGUCUUCAGAUAUCAAUGAUGUGAGUGACGUUGCUACUCAUUCAGAGUCUCCUUUUGAGCGGGAUAUGUGUCUAAAAGGAUCUCAGGACUUUGAAGAUGACGGAGACUGUAACUUAUCCCCUGAUUUGUUAAGGAUGGUAGAACACGAGGAGAAACAGAUUUUACCCCACAAAGAGACCGUAGAAGUCGUGAACUUGGGAGAUGAACUAGAAAUGAGAGAAGUAAAGAUCGGAGCUUGCAUCACCACAGAGACAAAGCGGGACCUUAUUGAGUUACUCCAAGAGUUCAAGGAUGUCUUUGCAUGGUCAUAUCAGGAUAUGCCUGGGCUAAGUACUGACAUUGUGGUACACAAGCUCCCCAUAAAAGAAGCCAGUUCAGCAAAAGCUUCGAAGGAUGCGGCCCGAUGUUCUGUUGAAAAUAAAAGAGGAGGUCAAGAAGCAAUUUGAUGCUGGUUUCUUACAAGUAGUUAAGUACUCAAAAUGGGUAGCCAACAUCGUCCCCGUCCCUAAAAAAGAUGAAAAUUUACGGAUGUGUGUAGACUACAGAGACUUAAAAAAGGCCAGCUCGAAAGAUAAUUUCCCGUUGCCUCAUAUCGACACCUUAGUGGACAACACUACAGGUUACUCAUUCUUCUCCUUCAUGGAUGGUUUCUCGGGGUACAAUCAGAUCAAGAUGGAUCCUGAAGACAUGAAUAAAACCACAUUUGUGACCAUAUGGGGAACCUUUUGCUAUAAAGUAAUGCCGUUCGGAUUGAAAAAUGCGGGAGCAACAUAUCAGAGAGCUAUGGUAACCCUAUUUCAUGAUAUGAUGCAUAAAGAAAUUGAAGUCUAUGUCGACGAAAUGAUUGCCAAAUCUCGGACUGAAGAAGAGCAUGUGCAAGUCUUGAGGAAAUUAUUUUUGAGGUUGAAAAAAUUCCAGUUGAAACUCAAUCCAGCGAAGUGUACCUUUGGGGCCAGGUCUAGAAAACUACUUGGAUUCGUAGUUAGUGAAAAUGGGAUUGAGAUUGACCCAGAUAAAGUCAAAGCUAUACAAGAGUUACCUCCACCACGUACUCAAAAGGAAGUUUGAGGAUUCCUAGGAAGACUAAAUUACAUCGCUCGGUUUAUUUCACAACUAACUGAGAAAUGUGACCCCAUAUUCCGUCUCAUUAAGAAACACAACCCUGGUGGUUGGGACGAGGAAUGCCAGAAGACUUUUGACAAAGUUAAGCAAUAUUUGUCUAAUGCCCCAGUGUUGACACCACCUAGUCCAGAUAAGCCACUGAUACUGUAUUUGACGGUAUUUAAAAAUUCUAUGGGAUACGUGCUUGGCCAAUACGAUGAAUCGGGAAGGAAAGAAAGAGCGAUAUAUUACCUCAGUAAAAAGUUUACUGUGUGUGAGACGAGAUACUCGUUCAUUGAAAAGUUGUGCUGUGCUUUGAUCUGGACAACCCGGAGACUGAGACAGUACAUGUUGUACUAUACAACUUGGCUGAUCUCUAAAAUGGAUCCUCUGAAAUACUUAAUGGAGUCAACUGCCUUGAACGGGAGAAUGGCCCGAUGGCAAAUUUUACUUUCUGAAUUCGAUAUAGUCUAUGUAAACCAGAAGGCCGUAAAAGGGAGUGCGAUAGUAGAUUUCCUAGCCAGUAGAGCCCUAGAAGACUACGAGCCUCUGAAUUUUGAUUUCCCAAAUGAAGAUCUAAUAUGCAUAGCAACCACUGAAGAAGACCCUCAAGAAGGUCACCCGUGGAAGCUAAACUUUGACGGAGCAUCAAAUGCUGUGGGUAACAGAAUCGGGGCAGUUUUGGUGUCCCCGAACGGAGAUCAUUAUCCAUUCACUAGUAAAUUGGAUUUUGACUGCACGAACAAUGUGGCAGAAUACGAAGCAUGCAUCAUGGGAAUACGUGCGGCCAUAGAACGUAAAAUCAAGGUGUUAGAGGUAUAUGGAGAUUCUGCCCUAGUGAUCUAUCAACUCAAAGGGGAAUAGGGGACAAGAGACCCCAAAUUGAUCAAUUACUAGAAGUUGAUCCUUGAGUUAAUUAAAGAGUUUGAUGAUAUUGUCUUCUACUACCUCCCACGAGAAUAAAAUCAGAUGGGUGACGCUUUAGCAACUUUAGCUUCUAUGAUCAAAGUAAACAAACCAGAGGAUGUGAAACCAAUCCAAAUGAGCAUUUACGAGGCCCCGGCUCAUUGUUACAACCUCGAAGAAGAAGAGGAAAAUGAUGAUCACCCUUAGUACCACGAUAUCCUACGUUAUGUGAAGAAUCGUGAGUACCCCGACCAAGCUACCGAGAACGACAAGAGAACGUUGAGAAGACUGGCCAGUGACUAUGUCUUAGAUGGGGAGACCCUAUAUAAAAGAAGGAAGGAUCAGGUAUUGUUAAGAUGUGUAGACUAUUGAGGCUAAGAAAAUCUUGGAAGAAGUCCAUGAGGGCAUCUGUGGGACACACGCUAAUGGUUUUACAAUGGCCAGGCAAAUUAUGAGGUUCGGUUAUUAUUGGUCCACCAUGGAAGGAGACUGUAUUAACUAUGCCAAAAAAUGUCGUAAGUGCCAAAUUUAUGGAGACAAGAUUAAUGUACCUCCCUCACCUUUGCAUGUCAUGACUUCGCCAUGGCCUUUCUCGAUGUGGGGCAUGGAUGUGAUUGGGCCAAUUUCGCCAAAAGCUUCAAAUGGGCAUCGUUUCAUCUUUGUGGUCAUCGAUUAUUUCACCAAAUGGGUGGAGGCCGCUUCAUAUGCCAAUGUCACUAAAUCAGCAGUUAGCAAGUUCCUGAAAAAGGAAAUCAUCUGUCGAUAUGGAAUGCCAGAAAGGAUCAUAUCUGACAACGCAUUGAAUUUGAACAACAGCACGAUAGCGGAUGUCUGCAGUCAGUUCAAGAUCAGACACCACAACUCGUCACCGUAUCGCCCGAAGAUGAACGGAGCAGUCGAAGCAGCCAAUAAGAACAUCAAGAAGAUUGUAGGAAAGAUGACAGAAACUUAUAAAGAUUGGCAUGAGAAGCUACCAUUCGCCCUCUAUGCUUAUCGAACGUUUAUCAGAACUUCUACUGGGGCAACGCCUUUCUCAUUAGUCUAUGGAAUAGAGGCAGUUUUACGUAUCAAGAUCAAGAUUCCUUCCCUCAGAGUUUUGUCAGAAGUAAAGAUGGAUGAAGCAGAAUGGAUCCAGUCCCGAUACGAUCAGCUUAAUUUGAUUGAAGAAAGGAGGCUAUGGGCUAUUCGCCAUGGUCAGAUGUACCAAAAGCGAAUGAUGCGAGCUUACAACAAAAAGAUUCGUCCCAGAGAGUUUUACGAGGACCUAGUACUGAAAAAGAUCCUACCCAUACAAAAAGACUUCAGAGGAAAAUGGAUGCCGAAUUGGGAAGGGCCCUAUGUGGUGAAGAAAGCCUUUUCUGGCGGAGCAUUGAUAUUGGCUGAAAUGGAUGGCAAGACCUUAUCCAAUCCUGUGAAUUCGGAUUCGGUUAAGAAAUACUUCGCCUAAAAAAAAAAGGAGAGGCCAGGGUGAAAACUCGUAAAGAGCACCUUGAGACCAAAGGGAUUUUGAAUUGAAAACCCAUAAAGGGCGAUUCAAAUUUUGAUCGAAGGUGGGGCAUGCGAUGGUCUUAUGAUACCUAAAAUUAACAAGGAGGAGAGAUGUUACAUCUUGAGGCAUCUACAAGAGUACUCUAGAUCCCCUGAACACAUAUUGGGCAAAAAGGAGUCCUCAAGAAACAAGUACAGAGAAGCUCACGUUUGCGAUAUCUAGGGCACCUAUUCCCUUCUUAUUCAUUUUGUAUUCCAGCAAUGUUUGUUGACCGUGAUGAAUCCAUUCCUUUCAAAUUUUGUUUCUGAUAAAUUUCAAUUCCAUCAUUACUAUGAUCUCUUUCAAGCAUUUUGUAUUGAAAUGAUGAUUAAUGGACUAAAGCCAUUUUCGCAAAAAGAGUUCUGCAUAUUAUUCUGAAAGUUUCUAAAUAGUACAGGAACCUGAAACAUGACUAUUUUCUAGAACUAACCAAACUCAAAGAUUGGAAGCAUCUGAGAAGAAAGUGUUUAAAUUGGGACUACCUCUUCGGUUUUUUUUUUGUUCAAAAUUUAAGCUGAACAAGAAGACAAGGUACCAUUUUAGUGAAGGAACCUUGAUGAACAAAGAGCAAUGGUGACCUAAACAGGGAUUCACGCUCACAACAUGCUGCACUCAUACAUUCAUAGAUCAUUCAUAAGUGCAUCUAAUUAGGAACAUUUGAUUCAUUUUGAUCAUAACAUCCUAAUUCUUUGACAUAAGCAUAAAUACAUGGAACUGAUUCUACAGGUCAUGUCCCUAGAAUCAGUGAAUUCACAGCUUUUACCCCAUAAGCAGUAGGGGAAUAGAUCGAAGGCAACGAGCUUUAACCCCCUAAGCAGUAGGGUAACAAGCUGAAGAUUUAUAAAUCUUAUCACCCUAAGCAGUAGGGAAACAGAUCGAAAAUAAUGAGCUUUAACCCCCUAAGCAGUAGGGUAACAAGUCAAAUUUACAGACCUUAACCCCCUAAGUAGUAGGGUAAUAGGCUGAAAAUUACAGAUCUUGUCUCCCUGAAGUUGCAGUGGAACAGAUCGAAUUCAACGAAUCUUGUCUUCCUGAAGUUGCAGUGAAGCAGAUUGAAGAUUUGCAGAUCUCAACCCCCUAAGCAGUAGGGAAGCAGAUUGAAGAUGAUAAGCCUUAAACCCCUAAGCAGUAGGGUAAUAGGCUAAAUUUACAGAUCUCAACCCCCUAAGCAGUAGGGAAGCAGAUUGAAGAUGAUGAGCCUUAAACCCCUAAGCAGUAGGGUAACAGGCUAAAUUUACAGAUCUCAACCCCCUAAGCAAAGGGAAGUAGAUUGAAGAUGAUGAGUCUUAAACCCCUAAGCAGUAGGGUAACAGGCUAAAUUUACAGAUCUCAACCCCCUAAGCAGUAGGGAAGCAUAUUGAAGAUGAUGAGUCUUAAACCCCUAAGCAGUAGGGUAACAGGCUAAAUUUACAGACCUCAACCCCCUAAGCAGUAGGGAAGCAGAUUGAAGAUGAUGAGUCUUAAAACCCUAAGCAGUAGGGUAACAGACUAAAUUUACAGAUCUUAACCCCCUAAGCAGUAGGGAAACAGAUCAAAGGCGAUGAGCCUUAAACCCCUAAGCAAUAGGGUAACAGGCUGAUUUUACAAGAUCUUAAACCCCUAAGCAGUAGGGAAACAGAUCAAUGAUGACAAGCCUUAACCCCCUAAGUAGUAGGGUAACAGGUUGAAAAUUAAAUAUCUUCUUCCUGAAAUGGCGUUGGAGCGGCUAAAAGCCACAGUAGAUCUCCUUGAAGUUUCAGUGGAUCUCUUUUCCCUGAAAUAGCGUUGGAGCGGCUAAAAGCCACAGCAGAUCUCCUUGAAGUUUUAGUGGAUCUCUUUUCCCUGAAAUGGCGUUGGAGCGGCUAAAAGCCACAACAGAUCUCCUUAAAGUUUCAGUGAAUCUCUUCUCCCUGAAAUGGCGUUGGAGCAGCUAAAAGUCACAGCAGAUUUCCUUGAAGUUUUAGUGGAUUAAUCGAAGCUACAGCAGAUCUCCUUGAAGUUUCAGUGGAAUUGAUUGAAGUCACGUGUCUUAUCUCCAUGGAGUUGCAGUGGAGCAGAUCAAAACAAACCUUACCUUCUUGAAGUAGCAGUAGAACAGUGAAGCAAAGCAACAAGAUUGGAAUAAAGAUACCUAGAGAAAAGGAGCACUAAACAAGUCCAGACACAGUGAGACAGGGCAAAAUUGGUCUUUCUUAAGUCUUUGCUCUGUUCUCGUUACACGACAACAAGCAAAGAGGGGCAAUUGUACAAGCCCAAUUUUGGGCCCAAAUAAACAUAACCCAACUAUAAACCCAAAACUUAGCCCAAAAAACUAACCCAACCCAAAAAAAAUCAAAAAAAUAAAAACCCUAAUCCCACCUACUCCACCACCCUUGUUGGCCACCCACUUUGGCCACCUAAACCACCCCAACCACUCCACUUGCUUACAAAAAUUUAUUUGUAAAAUUUGGCUAUAAAAGCCAUUCAAGACUAUGUUAGAAGGGGUGGUUUUUGUUUUUUGGAAAGGCUAGUUUUUGGAGAUUAAUCAAAGAUCAAAGCAAAAGAGGUUUCUUUUGUCUAUUCUCAUCUUAAGUUCUUUGUUUGUUUAUUGUUUUCCUUUCAAUUUUAUUUUGUUUUUUUAUAUACGAAAGUAAAAAUAAAAGUAAAAAGCUUACCCAUAUUUUCAUUAUCGAAAAAAGUUUUUUUUGAGGUCCGGCCGCCGUGAACGGUGGCGCCGAUGGCGGCCCGUGGGGGUCCAUGACCGAAGUAAAACCGAACCAACGGCCGGAUUUAGAAAAGAGAGAGAAAGAGAGUUGAGAGCUUUGUUUUAUUUUUUUAUUUUAUUAUUUUUACUAUUAUUUAUAUUAUUAUUAUUAUUAUUUCUCAUGUAUAUAUUAUUAUUUAUAUUAUUAUUAUAUUAUAUAUGCCCUCUCCAUAUUUAUUUAUAUUAUUACUAUCAUUAUUGUUACUUCUAUUAUUUUUUAUUUUUGACUACUAUUAUUAUAUAUAUGUAUUUUUGUUUGUGUUAUUAUUAUUAUUAUCACCUCUAUUGUUAUUACUUUACUUUUGUAUUCUAAUAUAUUAUUAAUAUUACUCAUAUUUUCAUUAUUUUUGCUAUUACUAUUAUUAUAUAUUAGUGUAUAUUUUUAUGUAUAUAUAUAUUUAUAUAUAGUAUUGUUUUUUAUUACUUUAAUUUAAUAUUUUUAUUAUAUUUGCUUUUUGUAUUUCUAUAUUUAUUAUUAUUAUUAUAUAGUAGUGUGUAUUUCUAUUAUAUACAUAUAUAUAUUUUUUAUAUAUAGUAUUAUUGUUUACUUUACUUUAAUAUUAUUCUUAUUAUCAUUAUAUCCAACCCAAUAAUAAUUCUUUCAUAAAAGUAAUAUUCCGUAUUUGGUAAUUCGAGACAAUCGUGCCCUAACUUAUUGGGUUUCAAUUUUUCUCCUUUAACCUAAAUAACGGAAUACUCUUUUAAAUCGCGACAUGAGUUUUGAAAAAUGCUUAUUCUCGGAGAUACGAGGUGUUGUGCCCUAGCUUAUCGGGUAUGGCAUUUUGUUACCUCGAAAUAAGAUUUUUGCAAGUAAAGGCAAUAUUCGGUGUUCGGGAAUUCGAGGAAACGUGCCCUAACUUACUGGGUUUCGAUUUUCCUCGUUCACCUUAACUAACUGAAUAACCUUUUGAAAUACACGAAUUUUUAUAUAAAAGGCAAGCUCGCUCUCGAAAAUUCAAGAUGUCGUGUCCUAACUUAUUGGAUGUGACAUUUUAUAUUGUGAGACGAGAAGGUCCUUAACAUUUGAGCAUUUUCUUUACAAAGAGGGAUUAUAUUUUAAAUUCUUUCAAGUUUUCAAAUUUUCGACACUAAGACACUAAUUAAUCAACUAGGUACCAAUUUUGGGCGUAUUGAGGGUGCUAAUCCUUCCUUGUGCGUAACCGACUCCCGAACUCAUUUUCUGAUUUUCGUAGACCAAAAAUUAUCGUUUUAGUAAAUCUUAACUUUUAUUAAAAUGAUUAAUUUAAGGUGAUCCGAUCACACCUAAAAAGAUUGGUGGCGACUCCUGUUUUCGUUUUUUUCUCCAAGUCGAUACCCGUUUUUUCAAAAAAAAAA